UUAACAGAAGAAAUAUUAAGUCAGUCCUCGGGUUAGAGGAUGGAUGUGGCCUAUACUAGAGAAAUGGGCAUCACAUUUAGACAGUUCCUAUCCUAGGUAUCUCUUAUGCCAAAAAUUAGUCCAAUGGAAUAUCUCUAAACUAUUUGAAUAAUUGAA